rnacentral:rRNA from 1 species
GACGAACGCUGGCGGCGUGCUUAACACAUGCAAGUCGAACGGAAAGGCCCUGCUUUUGUGGGGUGCUCGAGUGGCGAACGGGUGAGUAACACGUGAGUAACCUGCCCUUGACUUUGGGAUAACUUCAGGAAACUGGGGCUAAUACCGGAUAGGAGCUCCUGCUGCAUGGUGGGGGUUGGAAAGUUUCGGCGGUUGGGGAUGGACUCGCGGCUUAUCAGCUUGUUGGUGGGGUAGUGGCUUACCAAGGCUUUGACGGGUAGCCGGCCUGAGAGGGUGACCGGCCACAUUGGGACUGAGGUGCGGCCCAGACUCCUACGGGAGGCAGCAGUGGGGAAUUUUGCACAAUGGGCGGAAGCCUGAUGCAGCAACGCCGCGUGCGGGAUGACGGCCUUCGGGUUGUAAACCGCUUUCGCCUGUGACGAAGCGUGAGUGACGGUAAUGGGUAAAGAAGCACCGGCUAACUACGUG